UGGGGAAUAUUGGGCAAUGGGGGAAACCCUGACCCAGCAACGCCGCGUGAAGGAAGAAGGUUUUCGGAUUGUAAACUUCUGUCCUAAGGGAAGAAAGAAAUGACGGUACCUUAGGAGGAAGCCCCGGCUAACUACGUGCCAGCAGCCGCGGUAAUACGUAGGGGGCAAGCGUUGUCCGGAAUUAUUGGGCGUAAAGGGUGCGUAGGCGGCCGAUCAAGUCAGGUGUGAAAGACCCGUGCUUAACAUGGGGGUUGCACUUGAAACUGGUUGGCUUGAGUAUGGGAGAGGCAAGCGGAAUUCCCGGUGUAGCGGUGAAAUGCGUAGAGAUCGGGAGGAACACCAGUGGCGAAGGCGGCUUGCUGGACCAAAACUGACGCUGAGGCACGAAAGCGUGGGUAGCAAACAGG
rnacentral:rRNA from 1 species